CAACCUGCCCACCACUUGGGGAUAACCUUACGAAAGUAAGACUAAUACCCAAUGAUAUCUCUNNNAGACAUCUGAAAGAGAUUAAAGAUUUAUCGGUGAUGGAUGGGGAUGCGUCUGAUUAGCUUGUUGGCGGGGUAACGGCCCACCAAGGCGACGAUCAGUAGGGGUUCUGAGAGGAAGGUCCCCCACAUUGGAACUGAGACACGGUCCAAACUCCUACGGGAGGCAGCAGUGAGGAAUAUUGGUCAAUGGACGAGAGUCUGAACCAGCCAAGUAGCGUGCAGGAUGACGGCCCUAUGGGUUGUAAACUGCUUUUAUAAGGGAAUAAAGUGAGUCUCGUGAGACUUUUUGCAUGUACCUUAUGAAUAAGGACCGGCUAAUUCCGUGCCAGCAGCCGCGGUAAUACGGAAGGUCCGGGCGUUAUCCGGAUUUAUUGGGUUUAAAGGGAGCGUAGGCCGGAGAUUAAGCGUGUUGCGAAAUGUAGAUGCUCAACAUCUGCACUGCAGCGCGAACUGGUUUCCUUGAGUACGCACAAAGUGGGCGGAAUUCGUGGUGUAGCGGUGAAAUGCUUAGAUAUCACGAAGAACUCCGAUUG
rnacentral:rRNA from 1 species